AUGGUGGCAGCUAUGUGUCGUAUUGUGGAGGAAGAAGAUGAUGUGGACAAAGCUGACGUCCGGAGGGAUGUUUGGAAAAUUAACGCUCUUAAACGGGCGCGCUAUUUCAUUUGGCUGCUACAGUAUGAUGGCUUGUUGAUCAAUAAAAAGAAAUAUAGGAUGAAUUUUGGGAGUGUCAUGUGUAAUUGUUGUGGAGAUGUUGAAGAGGAUGUGCUCUAUGUGUUUCGAAAUUAUAUAAAGCAGUGA